rnacentral:rRNA from 1 species
UGGGGAAUAUUGCACAAUGGGCGCAAGCCUGAUGCAGCAACGCCGCGUGAACGAUGAAGGUCUUCGGAUCGUAAAGUUCUGUUGCAGGGGAAGAUAAUGACGGUACCCUGUGAGGAAGCCCCGGCUAACUACGUGCCAGCAGCCGCGGUAAUACGUAGGGGGCUAGCGUUGUCCGGAUUUAUUGGGCGUAAAGCGAGCGCAGGCGGUUAGAAAAGUCUGAAGUGAAAGGCAGUGGCUCAACCAUUGUAGGCUUUGGAAACUGUUUAACUUGAGUGCAGAAGGGGAGAGUGGAAUUCCAUGUGUAGCGGUGAAAUGCGUAGAUAUAUGGAGGAACACCGGUGGCGAAAGCGGCUCUCUGGUCUGUAACUGACGCUGAGGCUCGAAAGCGUGGGGAGCGAACAGG